GAGAAUGUAGCUCAGUGGUAGAGCACUUGCCUGGCAUGUAUGAGAACCUGGGUUCUAUCCUUAGCAUCUUA
rnacentral:tRNA from 1 species